rnacentral:lncRNA from 1 species
UAGUUUUGCAUUUUAACUUUGUUUAUAUGUUUUUAAGUCAGUUUAGAGGUUUUAGCAAGCCCUCAUAAUCCCCAGUUUAGAACGAUCCCUACUUGCAUUUAUACUACAAUUUGACAACAAGAGGGUUUAAUUUGUGUGUUAAGUUAAUUUUCGCAUCAAAUUUUUGGCGCCGUUGCCGGGGAUUAGCAAUUUUGCUAAUCCCUUGUUAUUUCUUUUUGUUUAUUUUCGUGUCUUUUGUUUUUAGUUACUGACUUUGUUUCUGUUUGUGUCUUUUAUUUUUACUUUUGAUAUUUGAUUUUGUUUUGUUUCCUUGAUUUCAGGUACUAGAGAAGUAAUACAUGGAUUUUUCUACCAUUCAAGCUCAAUUGGCGGAACUUACUUCUCAAUCGUCACAAUAUGCCGAAAGGACCACAACGCAAAGUGUCCCUACAUGUGGUGUGUCCUAUGGGCAAGGAUAUCCAACUCAGCAAUAUUCUCAAUUCGCUACGAAUGAAGAUGCUUGGGGUUAUCAAGGCCAUAGCCAAUCAUGGGACAACAUGUUUUCCAAUGCUUACAAUUCGGAUUGGAGAGAUUCAGAUUACAUAGAACCUCAACAAUUCCAACAAGAUGGAUAUUGGCAGCAAGAAGAGGAGUUCUAUUCAAGACCUAUGCAGC